UACGUAGGGUGCAAGCGUUGUCCGGAAUUAUUGGGCGUAAAGAGCUCGUAGGCGGCUUGUCACGUCGACUGUGAAAACCCGGGGCUCAACUCCGGGCCUGCAGUCGAUACGGGCUGGCUUGAGUGCGGUAGGGGAGACUGGAAUUCCUGGUGUAGUGGUGAAAUGCGCAGAUAUCAGGAGGAACACCCAUGGCGAAGGCAGCACUCUGGGCUGGAAUUGACGCUGAGGAGCGAAAGCAUGGGUAGCGAACAGG
rnacentral:rRNA from 1 species